rnacentral:rRNA from 1 species
GUGAGGAAUAUUGGUCAAUGGGCGAGAGCCUGAACCAGCCAAGUCGCGUGAAGGAAGAAGGAUCUAUGGUUCGUAAACUUCUUUUGCAGGGGAAUAAAGUGCAGGACGUGUCCUGUUUUGUAUGUACCCUGAGAAUAAGGAUCGGCUAACUCCGUGCCAGCAGCCGCGGUAAUACGGAGGAUCCGAGCGUUAUCCGGAUUUAUUGGGUUUAAAGGGUGCGUAGGUGGUUUGAUAAGUCAGCGGUGAAAGUUUGGAGCUUAACUGUAGAAAUGCCGUUGAAACUGUCGGACUUGAGUGUAAAUGAGGUAGGCGGAAUGCGUGGUGUAGCGGUGAAAUGCAUAGAUAUCACGCAGAACUCCGAUUGCGAAGGCAGCUUACUAAGCUACAACUGACACUGAAGCACGAAAGCGUGGGGAUCAAACAGGAUUAGAUACCCGUGUAGUCC